rnacentral:tRNA from 1 species
CGAGGUGUAGCGCAGUUUGGUAGCGCGCAUGGUUCGGGACCAUGAGGUCGUGGGUUCAAAUCCCGUCACCUCGACCA